GGGUAGCGAGAGGCGUCGGGAUCGCGGGCGCCGGCUGAGCCAGCGGCUGCUGGGAGGCUGUGUGCGCACGCCUGCGGGGCGAGGAGGCCGGGCCCUGCGCCUCAGGCCUGAGAACUGGGAGGAAGCUGGAGAAAAGAUGCCCUCUGAAUAUUUGUGUUUGGCUGCCCAGGCUCGCCUUGACUCCAAAUGGUUGAAAACAGAUAUACAGAUGGAGUCUUGCUCUGUUGCCCAGGCUAGAGUGCAGUGGUGCCAUCUCGGCUUACCGCAAGCUCCGCCUCCCGGGUUCACGCCAUUGUCCUGCCUCAGCGUCCCGAGUACCUGGAACUAUAGGUGUCCACCAUCAUACCUGGCCAAUUUUUUGUAUUUUCAGUAGAGACGGGGUUUCACUGUGUCAGCCAAGAUGGUCUCCAUCUUCUGACCUCGUGAUCCACCGGCCUUGGCCUCUUAGAGUGCUGGGAUUACAGGCAUAAGCCACCACUCCCGGCCGAUAUAUUGGUUUGUUUAUGAAAAUUAUACUGGAUCUGUUACAGAUGAUAGUGUCAAACCAAGUGGAACAAAGAAAGAAGAUCUGGAUGACAAAGAGAAAAAAGAUGAAACUCCUGCACCUGUAUAUAGGGCCAAGUCAAUUCUGGAGAGCUGGGUAUGGGAGUAAGCAACCAGGGAUGUUCACGGAACGCCAGGCACCAAAAGGCCAGAAGCAUGCCCCUGCAGGACCAGCACUUGGCUCUGGCCAUCCUGCUGGAGCUGGCUGUGCAGAGAGGCACGCUGAGCCAAAUGUUGUCUGCCAUCCUGUUGUUGCUUCAGCUGUGGGACAGCAGGGCACAGGAAACUGACAAUGAGCGUUCUGCCCAGGGCACCAGCACCUUGCUUUUGUCCUUGCUGCAAACGUUCCAGAGCAUCAUUUGCGGUAAGGAUACGCCCCCCUCCGAGGGCAACAUGCACCUUUUGUCUGGCCCUCUGAGCCCCAGUGAGAGUUUCCUGAGGUACCUCACCCUCCACAAGACAACGAGCUUGCCAUUGAUCUGCAACAAACGGCAGUUGUUGUCAUGGCCCAUUUAGAAGAUCUGGCUACACCCUGUAGAUGCCUCUGCCGUGUAGCUGUCCGACGUCUCAUAAGAGAGUCAUUUUUUUACAGGUCAGAACUGUAGAAAUAAUGAGGAAGUGACACUUAUAUGCAAAGCUGAUUUGGAGAACCAUAAUAAAGAUGGAGGCUUCUGGAUUGUGAUUGAUGAGAAAGUGUAUGAUAUAAAGGACUUCCAGACACAGUCGUUAACAGGAAAUAGUAUUCUUGCUCAGUUUGCAGGGGAAAACCCAGUGGUAGCUUUGGAAGCUGCUUUCGAGUUUGAAGUCACCCGGGAAUCCAUGCACGCAUUUUGUGUUGGCCAAUAUUUGGAGCCUGACCAAGAAGUUGUCACCAUACCAGAUCCGGGAAGUCUCUCUUCACCUCUGAUAGACACAGAGAGGAAUCUGGGCCUGCUUCUCGGAUUACACACUUCCUAUUUAGCAAUGAGCACACCGCUGUCUCCUGUCGAGAUUGAAUGUGCCAAAUGGCUUCAGUCAUCCAUCUUCUCUGGAGGCUGCAGACCAGCCAGAUCCACUACAGCUACAACGAGGAGAAAGAUGAGGACCACUGCAGCUCCCAGUGGGCACACCUGCCAGCAAAUCGCGACUGCUCCCACAGAUGGGCCCUGGGGGACCAUUCUCAGGCAUUUCUGCAAGCCAUUGCAGACAAUAACAUUCAGGAUCACAACGUGAAGGGCUUUUUGUGUCAAAUAGAAAGGUACUGUAGGCAGUGCCAUUUGACCACACCGAUCAUGUUUCCCCCCGAGCACCCCGUGGAAGAGGUCGGUCGCUUGCUGUUAUGUUGCUUCUUAAAACAUGAAGAUUUAGGUCAUGUGGCAUUAUCUUUAGUUCAUGCAGGUGUACUUGAUAUUGAGCAAAUAAAGCACAGAACGUUGCCUAAGUCAGUGGUGGAUGUUUGUAGAGUUGUCUACCAAGCAAAAUGUUCGCUCAUUAAGACUCAUCAAGAACAGGGCCGUUCUUACAAGGAGGUCUGCACUCCUGUCAUCGAACGUUUGAGAUUCCUCUCUAAUGAAUUGAGACCUGCUGUUGGUAAUGACCUCUCUAUAAUCUCUGAGUUUAAAUUGUUAAGUUCUUUGCCCCGUUGGAGGAGGAUAGCUCAGAAGAUAAUUCGGGAACGGAGGAAAAAGAGAAGUAAGAAUGUAAAAGGACAGAAGAUACUAUUAAAGCAUGUGCUUCACCCUGCCUCGCUGGACCUGUGAUUUCAGAGUGAAGUUUCUCUACUGUUGAUUCCAUGUGACAUUUCUACCUGCUGCCAUCAUUUUUAUGUAUAGUUAUGAUUAAAUACGGAAAUCUCUCCUAUUUUUUCAACCGAUCAGACAAUGAGGCAGUUUAGGAAUUGAGUGUGGUAUGAUUUGAUUACUAGUAAAUUGAUGUUGAAAACGUAAAUAAUCUUUGCUAAAUUGAUGGGAACAAGGACGUAUUUUUAUUUUAUUAGUUAUCCUGGUAAUGAGAUAUAAUGGGAACAUUUAAACUUAUUGCCAUUCUUCUAAAGAAAUGUUUUUUGUUUGGAAAUAUUGAGUAUUCUGAUACAUGGAGAAUUAUAAAGGGAAGCUGAAAGAGUUACUGACAUUUUCCUGGAAGUAGCUGUGUAAGAGUACAGAAAAGUCUUUUUGCAUUAAAUCCAA